GGAAGUAAAAAAAUUAACAAAGGUUUCCGUAGGGGACCUGCGGAAGGAUCAUUU
rnacentral:rRNA from 1 species